CCAGCAGCUGCGGUAAUUCCAGCUCCAAUAGCGUAUAUUAAUACUGUUGCAGUUAAAAGGCUCGUAGUCGUAUGUCUGACAUUUCGAAUCCGAUCCGCUGUCGAGUACAGUGUGAUUUCGGUAUUCAAAUGUCAUUUUUUUGAGAUGUCAUUCUGCCUUUGACUAGGUUGGUUUGUCAACUCAGAUCUUUUACUGUGAAUAAAACAGAGUGCUCCAAGCAAGCUCAUGCCUGCAUGUUUUAGCAUGGAAUAAUAAUAUAGGACUUCGAUUCUAUUUAGUUGGCUUUCAGAAUCCAAGUAAUGAUUGAUAGAGAUAGUUGGGGAUGCUAGAAUUUAACGGUAAGCGGUGAAAUGCACAGACCCGUUAAAGACUAACUUAUGCGAAAGCAUUCAUCAAGGAU
rnacentral:rRNA from 1 species